UACGAAGGGGGCUAGCGUUGUUCGGAAUCACUGGGCGUAAAGGGCGCGUAGGCGGCUUUGUAAGUCGGGGGUGAAAGCCUGUGGCUCAACCACAGAAUUGCCUUCGAUACUGCAUGGCUUGAGACCGGAAGAGGUAAGUGGAACUGCGAGUGUAGAGGUGAAAUUCGUAGAUAUUCGCAAGAACACCGGUGGCGAAGGCGGCCAACUGGUCCGGAUCUGACGCUGAGGCGCGAAAGCGUGGGGAGCAAACAGG
rnacentral:rRNA from 1 species